AUUCGAAAGAUUCGUUCAACGCGUGAAUGAUUGUCGUUCGCACGAAGCGUGGGACGCUCGAUUUGGGGCAAAACAAGGUCGCAACGAACCUUGUACCCGCUCAAUGUUCCGUACCCGAGAUAGCGUGCACAACAUCAUGGGCCAAACAAUCCAAGCACACAUACAUUAGUGGCAAGGAAAGCGGAACACAAUGUGUACUGCAAAGUCCACCAACGCAGCAUCCCGAAGGUUGCGGCCUUGGUUGGAUGACCAAUGAUUCCGACAAACGAAUGCCCUCAAUGCAGGAACUCAAUACAGGAAACCGAAAUCGGUCAAGGCAUGCUCAAUCCAACAAAUGAAAACUGAUG
rnacentral:misc_RNA from 1 species